rnacentral:ncRNA from 1 species
GCAGAGUAGACUGCGGAGCGUUAAGUGCCCGGUGAACAGGGAGUUGUCACCGGGACGAAAAGGAGUGCCAUUGUAAUGACACUGAUCCUUGCGGUUCCGCGGCCGAUUCCCGCUGC